ensembl:lncRNA novel transcript
GAGAUGGAGUCUCGCUGUCACCCAUCCAGGCUGGAGUGCAGUGACAUGAUCUAGGCUCACUGCAACUUCUACCUCCCAGGUUCAAGCGAUUCUCAUGCCUCAGCCUCCCAAGUACUGUUAUCUCCAUAAAUGGGCAGUAUCAGGCUAGUAUGAUACUGCUGUAGUGCCAUCAGUAUGUGGUCUCCACCUUCCAAUUUACUUCAUGGUUUAAGAUGGGUGGUUGAACAUUACCACACACUGACUCCAGAACUCAAAAAAAAGGGGAAGGGAAUGGCAAUAUAGAGUAUUAAUCAGAUCUCUU